UGCAGUCGAGCGCGCCCUUCGGGGUGAGCGGCGGACGGGUUAGUAACGCGUGGGAAUAUACCCUUUUCUGCGGAAUAGCCUCUGGAAACGGAGAGUAAUACCGCAUACGCCCUUCGGGGGAAAGAUUUAUCGGGGAAGGAUUAGCCCGCGUUAGAUUAGGUAGUUGGUGGGGUAAUGGCCUACCAAGCCUACGAUCUAUAGCUGGUUUUAGAGGAUGAUCAGCAACACUGGGACUGAGACACGGCCCAGACUCCUACGGGAGGCAGCAGUGGGGAAUCUUGGACAAUGGGGGCAACCCUGAUCCAGCCAUGCCGCGUGAGUGAUGAAGGCCUUAGGGUCGUAAAGCUCUUUCGCCUGUGAAGAUAAUGACGGUAGCAGGUAAAGAAACCCCGGCUAACUCCGUGCCAGCAGCCGCGGUAAUACGGAGGGGGUUAGCGUUGUUCGGAAUUACUGGGCGUAAAGCGCACGUAGGCGGACUGGAAAGUUGGGGGUGAAAUCCCAGGGCUCAACCCUGGAACUGCCUCCAAAACUAUCAGUCUAGAGUUCGAGAGAGGUGAGUGGAAUUCCGAGUGUAGAGGUGAAAUUCGUAGAUAUUCGGAGGAACACCAGUGGCGAAGGCGGCUCACUGGCUCGAUACUGACGCUGAGGUGCGAAAGUGUGGGGAGCAAACAGGAUUAGAUACCCUGGUAGUCCACACCGUAAACGAUGAAUGCCAGUCGUCGGGUAGCAUGCUAUUCGGUGACACACCUAACGGAUUAAGCAUUCCGCCUGGGGAGU
rnacentral:rRNA from 1 species